ensembl:lncRNA
UGUACUGGCCACAGCAAGCUUAGGAUGACGUCCAGAGUGAACGCACGGGGCUAGGAGCAAACAUUGGACUUGGUGAAUAAGGGAGGACAUGUGCAGGUAAUUGUUUCCUGAACUAGAAAAGUCUCUGAUCUGGCUUGUGAAUUCAAUCAAAAAGAGCACUUCGAUCUUAUAAAACCAACUGAAAGAACCACUUCUCCUUGUUUGUAUGAAGAGAAGUCAGUAAGGAGUGACUCUCAGAAGACAACUGGAGUGAGGAUACAUGGUGCCACCAUGCCCCCACAAAGCUGAAUAAAGUCUCCCCUGGUCCAGGAUCCCAGUCCUGCCUGAGACCCAGGACAUAAAUACGUUCUAUGGUGGGAUCAGGGUCAUCAAGGUCUGCAUGGUCCCUGUUUCUCUUCUACCCUGAGCUCUUCCUUCUGACUCUCACAGCAACAGCACCUCCCAAGGUUCCAGCUUCCCUUCAAAGUCACUGUUGGAGUGUUUCUCUGACUCUACAGAAAGCACCAUUCCUGGAAUGCAGUACACUGCAGCUGCUCCGAGGCAGCCAUUUGGGGCUGAGAAAGCAGCUCUCCACUGCUUCCUCCAAAGGCAGGAGCAGUCCAGUGGCGGGACUGCCCAUGAGUCUCCUCGUCAACAGACCCUGAGCCUCUGAUGUAAGAAGCCAGAUGUGAUGGAGAUAGGUAGGCUCUGCUUACUGCCUGUCACUCUGAGAGACUGGCCUUCUCUCAAGGGAGAGCUCGACGUCACCAUUGUUGGUGGUUUGCCAAGAGAGUGCCAUGGGCCGCCAGGACAAGAUGAAGCAAAGCAGGUCGACAACUCUGUCUUGCUGCUGUGCCUACACGCUUGUUCUUCUGUCAGCUUCACAAGCUGGUCCCCCCUCUUCUCCAGGCGUAUUCCCACACAUCCUGUUGGUCUCAUCUUUUGUACGGCUUCCUCUGCAAAGCAUUCCUGGACUUCCCAAGUCUGGCUUAGAUGUUCCUGGGAAGAAUUCCCAACACCUCCUAUGAGUCACUGCCUUGUGGUUAGGAUAAAUCCAGGACUUUAUAGAGAUUAUUUCUUUCUUUUGACACAGCAGCUGUAUGGAGCUGUUUUCGGUCAAGGACACUUGCCUUUGGCUGGAAAAAUACUAAAAUUUUGCUUUUUCGUUUUGUAAUUAGUGAGCAAUGAGGCAACAGAACCCCCCUUAUCCCACAUCUCACGGGAUGCUGUCACAUGAUAGAAGCUUAAGAAAUUUAUGUAUUAAAAGGAUAAGGAAAUGAAUGAAUUCCACAUUGUAUUGCAUAACCAACACUCCCCUCUCUCUCAUGCUUCCAUUUUAGUGAAUGGUUAAUGUGGAACCAAGAAUCAAAUCAAGUUAUUCUAUAACUCAGCUUAAACCUAGUACAUUGUAUUUUAAGGGGGGAUUCCUGAAAGCACAAACUGACUCAGAAACAGAGUCCAGUUUCGAGGGAACUAUUCUCUGUUAGGGAGAAGAGCUUGAAUUGACUCUCAUCUAACUUGGAUUUACAACCUGCAGAUUACAUUCACUUGUUGAGACGUGUAUUGAGUUCCUAGUAUGUGUCAAGCUCUAUUCUAGAAGCUGGGGUUAAUGGCGAUGAACAAACAUGCAAGAACCUGUCACUCAAGUGGAAGAAGGCAGACAAUCCAGAAGGAAAUUAGAUAGUUUUAAAAGGUGGUAAAUGCCACAGAAAAUAAAGCAGGUAAUAAGGCUUUGGUGGGAUUCAAGGAGGAAGUACUUCAGUUAGGGAAGUGAUUUCCAAUGCACAAUCUGGGAACAAGAAUGAGUUCCAGGGGCCAGCCCGGUGGCACAGCAGUUAAGUGUGCACAUUCUGCUUUGGUGGCCUGGGGUUCACCGGUUCGAAUCCUGGGUGCGGACAUGGCACUGCUUGGCAAGCCAUGCUGUGGUAGCUGUCCCACGUAUAAAAUAGAGGAAGAUGGGCAUAGAUGUUAGCUCAGGGCCAGUCUUCCUCAAAAAAAAAAAAAAAAAGAAUGAGUUCCAUUGCCAGGGCAAUAAGGGGAUGGAAUAUCCCAAUCUAGGAGAGGCAUAUCUCUAAUUAUACAUACAUAAUUGACAACGUGAUUUAAAGAUUAGUCAUUUGGUUAGUUUGAUUCAUUUUAAUAAUUUCCAAGAGCCUGAAUAAUUCUGUGUAUACUGACUAAAUUUGAUUUUCGACUGCAAGUGCUGAGAGCCAGACUCCAGAAUGUGGUGCCCAUCCCAAAGUAUUGUUGCUCGUGGACGCCUGACUAGAACAUUGUCCAGCAACUAGAAUGGCCCCAUUCCUUCAUUACUUUCUCACAUCCUGACCCACAAUUUCACUAACUG